CCUACGGGAGGCUGCAGUGGGGAAUAUUGGACAAUGGGCGAAAGCCUGAUCCAGCCAUGCCGUGUGUGUGAAGAAGGCCUUCGGGUUGUAAAGCACUUUCAGUGGGGAAGAAAGCCUUGGGGCUAAUACCCUCGAGGAAGGACAUCACCCACAGAAGAAGCACCGGCUAACUCCGUGCCAGCAGCCGCGGUAAUACGGAGGGUGCGAGCGUUAAUCGGAAUUACUGGGCGUAAAGCGCGCGUAGGCGGUCUGAUAAGCCGGUUGUGAAAGCCCCGGGCUCAACCUGGGAACGGCAUCCGGAACUGUCAGGCUAGAGUGCAGGAGAGGAAGGUAGAAUUCCCGGUGUAGCGGUGAAAUGCGUAGAGAUCGGGAGGAAUACCAGUGGCGAAGGCGGCCUUCUGGACUGACACUGACGCUGAGGUGCGAAAGCGUGGGUAGCAAACAGGAUUAGAUACCCGAGUAGUC
rnacentral:rRNA from 1 species